rnacentral:rRNA from 1 species
GACGAACGCUGGCGGCGUGCUUAACACAUGCAAGUCGAACGGAAAGGCCCUGCUUUUGUGGGGUGCUCGAGUGGCGAACGGGUGAGUAACACGUGAGUAACCUGCCCUUGACUUUGGGAUAACCUCAGGAAACUGGGGCUAAUACCGGAUAGGAGCUCCUGCUGCAUGGUGGGGGUUGGAAAGUUUCGGCGGUUGGGGAUGGACUCGCGGCUUAUCAGCUUGUUGGUGGGGUAGUGGCUUACCAAGGCUUUGACGGGUAGCCGGCCUGGGAGGGUGACCGGCCACAUUGGGACUGAGAUACGGCCCGGACUCCUACGGGAGGCAGCAGUGGGGAAUAUUGCACAAUGGGCGGAAGCCUGAUGCAGCAACGCCGCGUGCGGGAUGACGGCAUUCGGGUUGUAAACCGCUUUCGCCUGUGACGAAGCGUGAGUGACGGUAAUGGGUAAAGAAGCACCGGCUAACUACGUG